CCGUGCUAGAUGGGGAGUUUGCGGUGCCCUGUAACCUGCAAUCCGCAGAAGCAGGAUCGAAGUCCUUUGCUGAGGCCGGCGUCUGUAAGGCCUGACCCUGAUAAGUGGCGUUGAUAAUUGGGUCCUGCGCAACAGAAAUUUAUGAACCCCGUCAGGUCCGGGAGGAAGCAGCGGUAAGUAAACCCUUCUGUGUGCCGUAGGGAUGCCUGGUUGGAGCUAACUGUCCGGGUAACGCUUGGAGAUGCUUGUGUCGAAGGAAGGUGCACGG
rfam:Lutispora thermophila DSM 19022 genome assembly, contig: EJ66DRAFT_scaffold00030.30